UAACACGUAAACAACCUGCCUUUAGGAUGGGGACAACAGACGGAAACGACUGCUAAUACCGAAUAAGUUCCAAGAGCCGCAUGGCCCAUGGAAGAAAAGGUGGCCUCUACCUGUAAGCUAUCGCCUGAAGAGGGGUUUGCGUCUGAUUAGCUGGUUGGAGGGGUAACGGCCCACCAAGGCGACGAUCAGUAGCCGGUCUGAGAGGAUGAACGGCCACACUGGAACUGAGACACGGUCCAG
rnacentral:rRNA from 1 species